rnacentral:rRNA from 1 species
UUAAGCGACUAAGCGUACACGGUGGAUGCCCGGCAGUCAGAGGCGAUGAAGGACGUGCUAAUCUGCGAUAAGCGUCGGUAAGGUGAUAUGAACCGUUAUAACCGGCGAUUUCCGAAUGGGGAAACCCAGUGUGAUUCGUCACACUAUCAUUAACUGAAUCCAUAGGUUAAUGAGGCGAACCGGGGGAACUGAAACAUCUAAGUACCCCGAGGAAAAGAAAUCAACCGAGAUUCCCCAGUAGCGGCGAGCGAACGGGGAGGAGCCAGAGCCUGAAUCAGUGUGUGUGUUAGUGGAAGCGUCUGGAAAGGCGCGCGAUACAGGGUGACAGCCCCGUACACAAAAAUGCAUGCUGUGAGCUCGAUGAGUAGGGCGGGACACGUGGUAUCCUGUCUGAAUAUGGGGGGACCAUCCUCCAAGGCUAAAUACUCCUGACUGACCGAUAGUGAACCAGUACCGUGAGGGAAAGGCGAAAAGAACCCCGGCGAGGGGAGUGAAAAAGAACCUGAAACCGUGUACGUACAAGCAGUGGGAGCCUCUUUAUGGGGUGACUGCGUACCUUUUGUAUAAUGGGUCAGCGACUUAUAUUCUGUAGCAAGGUUAACCGAAUAGGGGAGCCGAAGGGAAACCGAGUCUUAACUGGGCGUUAAGUUGCAGGGUAUAGACCCGAAACCCGGUGAUCUAGCCAUGGGCAGGUUGAAGGUUGGGUAACACUAACUGGAGGACCGAACCGACUAAUGUUGAAAAAUUAGCGGAUGACUUGUGGCUGGGGGUGAAAGGCCAAUCAAACCGGGAGAUAGCUGGUUCUCCCCGAAAGCUAUUUAGGUAGCGCCUCGUGAAUUCAUCUCCGGGGGUAGAGCACUGUUUCGGCAAGGGGGUCAUCCCGACUUACCAACCCGAUGCAAACUGCGAAUACCGGAGAAUGUUAUCACGGGAGACACACGGCGGGUGCUAACGUCCGUCGUGAAGAGGGAAACAACCCAGACCGCCAGCUAAGGUCCCAAAGUCAUGGUUAAGUGGGAAACGAUGUGGGAAGGCCCAGACAGCCAGGAUGUUGGCUUAGAAGCAGCCAUCAUUUAAAGAAAGCGUAAUAGCUCACUGGUCGAGUCGGCCUGCGCGGAAGAUGUAACGGGGCUAAACCAUGCACCGAAGCUGCGGCAGCGACACUAUGUGUUGUUGGGUAGGGGAGCGUUCUGUAAGCCUGCGAAGGUGUACUGUGAGGUAUGCUGGAGGUAUCAGAAGUGCGAAUGCUGACAUAAGUAACGAUAAAGCGGGUGAAAAGCCCGCUCGCCGGAAGACCAAGGGUUCCUGUCCAACGUUAAUCGGGGCAGGGUGAGUCGACCCCUAAGGCGAGGCCGAAAGGCGUAGUCGAUGGGAAACAGGUUAAUAUUCCUGUACUUGGUGUUACUGCGAAGGGGGGACGGAGAAGGCUAUGUUGGCCGGGCGACGGUUGUCCCGGUUUAAGCGUGUAGGCUGGUUUUCCAGGCAAAUCCGGAAAAUCAAGGCUGAGGCGUGAUGACGAGGCACUACGGUGCUGAAGCAACAAAUGCCCUGCUUCCAGGAAAAGCCUCUAAGCAUCAGGUAACAUCAAAUCGUACCCCAAACCGACACAGGUGGUCAGGUAGAGAAUACCAAGGCGCUUGAGAGAACUCGGGUGAAGGAACUAGGCAAAAUGGUGCCGUAACUUCGGGAGAAGGCACGCUGAUAUGUAGGUGAAGUCCCUCGCGGAUGGAGCUGAAAUCAGUCGAAGAUACCAGCUGGCUGCAACUGUUUAUUAAAAACACAGCACUGUGCAAACACGAAAGUGGACGUAUACGGUGUGACGCCUGCCCGGUGCCGGAAGGUUAAUUGAUGGGGUUAGCGGUAACGCGAAGCUCUUGAUCGAAGCCCCGGUAAACGGCGGCCGUAACUAUAACGGUCCUAAGGUAGCGAAAUUCCUUGUCGGGUAAGUUCCGACCUGCACGAAUGGCGUAAUGAUGGCCAGGCUGUCUCCACCCGAGACUCAGUGAAAUUGAACUCGCUGUGAAGAUGCAGUGUACCCGCGGCAAGACGGAAAGACCCCGUGAACCUUUACUAUAGCUUGACACUGAACAUUGAGCCUUGAUGUGUAGGAUAGGUGGGAGGCUUUGAAGUGUGGACGCCAGUCUGCAUGGAGCCGACCUUGAAAUACCACCCUUAAUGUUUGAUGUUCUAACGUUGGCCCCUAAUCGGGGUUGCGGACAGUGUCUGGUGGGUAGUUUGACUGGGGCGGUCUCCUCCUAAAGAGUAACGGAGGAGCACGAAGGUUGGCUAAUCCUGGUCGGACAUCAGGAGGUUAGUGCAAUGGCAUAAGCCAGCUUGACUGCGAGCGUGACGGCGCGAGCAGGUGCGAAAGCAGGUCAUAGUGAUCCGGUGGUUCUGAAUGGAAGGGCCAUCGCUCAACGGAUAAAAGGUACUCCGGGGAUAACAGGCUGAUACCGCCCAAGAGUUCAUAUCGACGGCGGUGUUUGGCACCUCGAUGUCGGCUCAUCACAUCCUGGGGCUGAAGUAGGUCCCAAGGGUAUGGCUGUUCGCCAUUUAAAGUGGUACGCGAGCUGGGUUUAGAACGUCGUGAGACAGUUCGGUCCCUAUCUGCCGUGGGCGCUGGAGAACUGAGGGGGGCUGCUCCUAGUACGAGAGGACCGGAGUGGACGCAUCACUGGUGUUCGGGUUGUCAUGCCAAUGGCACUGCCCGGUAGCUAAAUGCGGAAGAGAUAAGUGCUGAAAGCAUCUAAGCACGAAACUUGCCCCGAGAUGAGUUCUCCCUGACUCCCUGAGAGUCCUGAAGGAACGUUGAAGACGACGACGUUGAUAGGCCGGGUGUAAGCGCAGCGAUGCGUUGAGCUAACCGGUACUAAUGAACCGUGAGGCUUAACCU